UUUGUCACUUAUCAAUGAUGCCGAAUGUUAUUAGUUCGCUAAAUGUUUUUAUACGAAGUUGCCGAUUCUUGAAACUAACUGAAGCAAAAGUGAAUGUUUACGAAAUAAAGAAAAAUCUCUUCCAUCA